rnacentral:rRNA from 1 species
GCCCCUAGCAUUAUACAAGUAUUAGGGGUAAUGCCUGCCCAGUGACACUGUUAAACGGCCGCGGUAUCCUAACCGUGCAAAGGUAGCGUAAUCACUUGUCUUUUAAAUAAAGACUAGAAUGAAUGGCCAAACGAGGUUCCACCUGUCUCCUACAGACAAUCAGUGAAAUUGAUCUUCCUGUGCAAAAGCAGGAAUAACACUAUAAGACGAGAAGACCCUGUGGAACUUCAAAUACAAGUCAACUACUAUCCACAUUCCCCCCACUGGGCCUAUACCUAAGUAACACCUGAUUUAUAUUUUCGGUUGGGGCGACCUCGGAGUAAAACAAAACCUCCGAAAAAAGAACUCUAUCUAAACCUAGACUUACAACCCAAAGUGCCUCCAGCAAAACGAUCCAAUAUAUUUGAUCAACGAACCAAGCUACCCCAGGGAUAACAGCGCAAUCCCGUCCUAGAGUCCCUAUCGACGAUGGGGUUUACGACCUCGAUGUUGGAUCAGGACAUCCUGAUGGUGCAACCGCUAUCAAGGGUUCGUUUGUUCAACGAUUAAUAGUCCUACGUGA